GGGGGGCGGAGUCUGCGCUGAGUGAAGAGGUGCCAGAAUCCGCGAAGAGGGUCGACGAAUGCGCUGCCGCGGAGGUGGGCCAAAUAAUCAUGGCAACAGGACUUUUAGAAGCACGUCCUCUGAAAGCCAUUUUCUGCCUGUGGUUGGAAAGGGACUGUGAGUCUUUCCUCAGGAAGUCAGUAGCCCUACCUGGUGAGGUGAUCAAGAGUUUGCUAGCACAAGAGAUGAAGCAACAAUGGCCAUGAGGGAUUCAAGGAUUAUGCGGUAAGUCUCUGCACCCUACAAUACACCAACUGGCAGUUCCAUCAUUUGAAAGAAAAUCUUCAAGGUAAAGACAUUUACAAUGACACAAAAACCUUUCAAAGGCAUCAUGGUCCUAAAGGGCUUUCCCCAAGGGACAGCACAGUGUGUUCCAGGCCCUGACAAGAGGUUUAAGACCUGUGACACAGACUGAAGCUCUCCUGGCAUACUCUGAAGCUCUCCUGGCACCCUCCCCUUUAUGCUUCACAGGUGUUUCUCCUAAUAAAUUUCUUGUAUGUCUCAUCCCAUCUGGGAAUCUGCUUCUCAGAAGACUCAAACUAACAUAUCUGCCCACUAUGUAUCAGGCACUGUGCUAGGUGCUGGAGACCUAAAAAUGGAUAAAACAGACAAGAGCCCUUCAUUCAUGGUGCUUGCAUCAUAGUGGGGGUAAAUAUUCCAUAAGCAAGAGAAUAAAUAGAUAAGAUAAAUUUAAAAACUAGAGAAUGACUUGUUAUAAAUUGAUUGGUAAUCAGGGAAGGUCUUCUGAGGAGAUGACACUUAAGCUGACACCUGAAUGAGAAGAAGGGGCUGGUCAACUGAAGACCUAGAUGAGAGUAUUGUAGGCAGAGGGAAGAGCAAGGACCACAGGUUGAGAAAGAAACUAGUUUGACAUAUUUGAUGGGGGAAAAGCCAGUUUGAAGAAUAAUAAAAAAGGGAAUGAAUGGAAUAAACAAGGACAUUAAAGAACUAGAGAGGAGCCUGAUCAUCACAGUAAGGCAUUUAGAAUAGGUUAGGGAGAAGACCAUUCUCUAUCAGGGUAGAACUGAAAAGGCUACGUCUGCUGCUAAAUGCUGCUAUAAAAAGACAAGGGCUUUCAUAUACUACAGAUGCAAUCUUUUGGAUCCACUUAUAUUGAGCAGACUUCGUGGACCCUCCUAAGAAAGUAGGCACCACAAAAAUAUUACAUCUAUACAAAAUGCAGGGCUCCAAGCCAUAGAUGUAUAUAUCACAUUGUGUGUGUGUGUGUGUGUGUGUGUGUGUGUGUGUGUGUGUGUGUGUGUGUCUGUAAAGCCAGCCAGUUUGUAAGCUGAACAUGACUCCCACAUGCUUUCAGAGAGAAGAGAAAAGAGAGAGGACCGUGUACUGGAAUAAGCCCUAAGAACUUCUUGGAAGAAGGGGAAGUUAGCUGAUCAAAAUUAUGUUGCUUUCUAGAAAAGAAGUAAAAAGCCAGGCAGUUUCUUUUGCUAGAACUGUCUGGGUAGAUUUCCAUUCUAAGAAAAUUACAACAAUGUAUAGUUUUAAAUAGCUAGAAGGAGAAUACUGAAUGUUCCCAACACAAAGAAGUGAUAAAUAUUUGAAAUGACGGAUAUAUUCAUAGUCCUUAUCUGAUUGCUAUACACAAUAUGUAUUGAAACAUCAUUAUGUACCCCAUGAAUAUGUGCAAUUAUUAUAAUUCAAUUUAAAAAAUAAAAUUAAACAAAGAAAGCAAGGGGUCAACAGCAUCCAUUGUAAAUGUGCUACCUCUCCACCUGUCUCAUUUAUGAAGUUGGGGGAGCUCCUGAACAGAUAACGAAGUGCAAUGAAAUUUGGAGAAGAAAUCUAGUACCUAGGUCUAGAGAGCAAAUGUGCAACUUCUUUGGAGAAUAUGUUUCAAAUAAAGCUUCAAGAGCUGUUCCUAGUAGCAUAUGGCUGUUGCUCUUGGUGUGGAGGUUCAUGGAGUAAUGUUUCUUGAUCAGAGGAUCUUGCAGGUUAUUGUUCACUUCUACUGCUGCCUCUACCCAAUGUAUAGUUUGAGUCCUAAGAGGCUUGGCCUUUUUACUUUGCCUUCCACCCCAAUAGGGACAGCACAGUGAGAAACAGAUCUACAAUGGCUCCGCAGACCUUUCCUUUGGAGAGAUGCUGGGCAGCUGCACACACUAAGAAAGUUUCCUGAAAUAGAAUUGCAUUAUCUGAGGCCUGGAAAAUGUGUUGGAAAAGCUCACUUAGCUAUGGGAAAGCCGAUGAAAGACCUGUCUGGUUUCUGAGCAUUGUCUGGGGAGCUCAAAUUCUAUAAAUGGGCCCCCAAGGUAUCCAUCAUUUAGCCCUUGCCAAGGCUGGGUCAACAUGCUGGCAAAGAACUGUCUGAACAUUGAAAAAUCCUCCAACCUAUUAUCUCCUGAGAGAAAGCUAGUUAUUUGAAAUACAAGUUGGAUUUUAAAAUUUCUAUCAGCAUGUUUUUAAAUUAAUCUUUUGUUAAUGUAAACAUACAGAAAAUUACAUGCAUUAUAAGUGAACAGAUCAAUGAAUUUUCAAAAAGUGAAUAUAACUUUAUAGCCACAUCAGAUCAAGAAACAGACAUUACCAGCACCCCAGGAGUCUUUCUACUAUUUCCUUCCUGAAUCCAGAAUAGGGUAACUACUAUUCUGGAUUGUAAUACAGAUAAGUUAACUUUGCCUGUUUUGUAUUUUAUGCAAAUAAAGUCAUACCAUAUACAGUACUGAUCUCAAGGAAGAAGCUUUUAGCAUUUUAAUAUUAAAUACAAUAACAUGUAAUUUUUUGGUAGAUUUUUAAAAUCGAAUUUAGAAAGUUCCCUUCUAUUUCUAGUUUGUUACAAAUUUUCAUCAUGAAUAUAUGUUGAAUUUUGUCAAAUGCUUUAUUUUAUUGAGAUAAUCUGC
rnacentral:lncRNA from 10 species